UGGGGGUGGGUUGGCGUGACAGACCACGGGGGCUGUCGGCUCACGGGGACCGAGUCGUUCGAGGCGGUAGCCUCGGGC
rnacentral:tRNA from 1 species